ensembl:lncRNA
GGCGAUAUGAUCUCAGAUUGCCUCAGAUUAGAUGCAAAGCAUGUGAAGCCACUUGGAGUCCUGGAGUGGAUGACCUGAUCCGUAAUGACUACUGGCCUGCCACUUCUCACUAUUCAACUGUGUAUGCAACAGAUGUCCUUUUUUUCUUUUUGAAGAGCUGAAGAUGGCAGCACCAGGGAUGUCUAGCCAAGCAUUUCUUAGAAUGCUGGAUCAACGCACUGUUCGAUUUGGCCGUAGUGGAAACAUCACAGCAGACAGCUUCCGGAAAAAGCUUCUUGGAGUGGGAAGCUGUCCGAUUCGAAGUGGACAAAUUAUGCCAGGAGGACCACUUUGACUGCCCAGCGUGCAGCCCAGACAUGCUUGCAGUAUCCGUUGAUGGAAACCGUAAGCACUACAGAUUCAAGAGUGCAGCAAGAUCGGAGGAAAAAGCCAUCUUUGAUGGCGUGUUCAUCGCAAAUGAUGAUGAUGUCGCAAGAUUCGUGGACUAUGUCCAUACCUCAACCAGUCAUGUCUCUGGAAGAGGUGUCUGUGGAGGGCAAUGGUCAGCGGCGCGUGAAACUUCUCAGAAGUCCUCAGGAAAAACAGACGAGGAGGGCCUGGAACUCGCUGUAUGUCGUCAUGGGGUUCUCCUUCGUGCCCUCAAUAUGUUCAGGGGGAGAUUUUUUUGCCUACCCCCUGUACCUCCAAAAGCAAAUGGCCUGUAAGCCAGUUAAAUUUUUUGCAAUGGAUGUGGCAUGCAAGUACUGGCCUUACCUCCAGAGAGUGACAGAGAAAUGCCCUGAGCUUGAGGAUCUCCUCACCAUGAGGCCAUUUCUUUCUGUUUUUCAUGCCAAAGCUCAUGAUUUCAAAUGUGAGGUAAAAUGGAGUGGAGCAUAUCAGGAGGGGGCUGGUUCGACUCUUGGGGAAGAGGUGGAGCAGUGCAACGCCUUCCUCUCGAGGAUUGCUGUUACGACAAAGCACAUGUCAAAAGCAGGACGCAUAGACAUGCUGACGAUCAUGGCCAUGCGCUGGAACCAACAAAAGUUUGACAACUUGGCUUCUACCCUUGCCCGCCGAUAUCGGAAGGCCACAAUAGCCCUGCAAUGCCAGUUGCAUAACCUGGAGGCCAUGAAAACGGAAAUGGACGUCUCAGACAAUCAACUGGAGAGGUGGAUCAUUGAUAUCAAUGAGUGGGCAGAAGCAACAACAUCCCCAAAUGAUGCUGAUGUUGCCGCUGUUGCCAGCCGAAUUGAGGAGCUGGUGGCAAGUGUUAAGAGGAGGUCCCAGCGUCUUUACAAGGAUAGUGACGGAUGCAAAGGGACGUGCCCGAAUCCGCCGAAAGAUCAGGGAGGAAAAAUCUUAAAUUCUGUAGUGGAAAAAGUACAACACCUUGGUUCCUAA